AAUAUUUGACAAUGGGGGCAACCCUGAUCCAGCCAUGCCGCGUGUGUGAAGAAGGUCUUCGGAUUGUAAAGCACUUUAAGUUGGGAGGAAGGGCUUUAGGUUAAUACCCUGAAUUUUUUACGUUACCUACCGAAUAAGCACCGGCUAACUCUGUUCCAGCCGCCGCGGUCAUACAGAGGGUGCAAGCGUUAAUCGGAAUUACUGGGCGUAAAGCGCGCGUAGGUGGUUCAGUAAGAUGGGUGUGAAAUCAAAGGGCUGAACCUGGGAACUGCUUUCAGAACUGCUGAGCUAGAGUACGGUAGAGGGUAGUGGAAUUUACUGUGUAGCGGUGAAAUGCGUAGAUAUAGGAAGGAACACCAGUGGCGAAGGCGACUACCUGGACUGAUACUGACACUGAGGUGCGAAAGCGUGGGGAGCAAACA
rnacentral:rRNA from 1 species